rnacentral:rRNA from 1 species
GAUGAACGCUAGCGGCAGGCCUAACACAUGCAAGUCGAGGGGUAUUAGGAGCUUGCUCCUAAGAGACCGGCGCACGGGUGCGUAACGCGUAUGCAAUCUACCUUGUACAGGGGAAUAGCCCAGAGAAAUUUGGAUUAAUGCCCCAUAGUAUAAUUGAAUCGCAUGGUUUAAUUAUUAAAGUUCCAACGGUACAAGAUGAGCAUGCGUCCCAUUAGUUAGUUGGUAAGGUAACGGCUUACCAAGCCGACGAUCUGUAGCUGGUCUGAGAGGACGACCAGCCACACUGGGACUGAGACACGGCCCAGACUCCUACGGGAGGCAGCAGUGGGGAAUUUUGGACAAUGGGCGAAAGCCUGAUCCAGCCAUGCCGCGUGCAGGAUGAAGGCCUUCGGGUUGUAAACUGCUUUUGUACGGAACGAAAAGACUCUGGUUAAUACCUGGAGUCCAUGACGGUACCGUAAGAAUAAGCACCGGCUAACUACGUG